rnacentral:rRNA from 1 species
UCGCCUUGUUUUAUCAAAAACAUGUCCUCAUGGUUUUAUUUGAGGUCUGGCCUGCCCGGUGAUUUUAUUUAACGGCCGCGGUAUACUGACCGUGCAAAGGUAGCAUAAUCAUUAGUCUUUUAAUAGGAGGCUGGAAUGAAAGGUUUAACGAAAAAUUAACUGUCUCAAUUAUAAAUUUGAAUUUAACUUUUAAGUAAAAAGGCUUAAAUUUUAUUGGAGGACGAGAAGACCCUAUAGAGCUUUACAUUUUAUUUUAUAUUAUUUUAUUUAGUUUAAUAACUUGAUUUGAUUUAAAUAAUUGUUUUGUUGGGGUGACAGAAAAUAUAUAUUUAACUUUUAUUAUUUUAUAUUCAUUAAUCUAUGUUUAUUUGAUCCAGAAUUUUUGAUCAUUAGAUUAAGUUACCUUAGGGAUAACAGCGUAAUCUUCCUUCAGAGUUCAAAUUUACAGGAAGGCUUGCGACCUCGAUGUUGGAUUAAGAUAAUAAUUAGGUGCAGUAGCUUAAUUAAUAGGUCUGUUCGACCUUAAAUCUACAGAUCAGCAG